rnacentral:tRNA from 1 species
GUGUAAAAAAUGAUAAUAACUUUUUUAUUUCUUUUUAGUAUAAUUUUAGUCUUUUUUUU